rnacentral:rRNA from 1 species
GAAUGAACGGUUUUACAAUGUAAGUCUUUUUUUAUUUAAUAUUUUAAUUUUUAAUUUAAGUAAGAAUACUUAAAUAAAAAAUUGGGACGAUAAGACCCUAAAAGCUUUAAGUGUAAAGGUUAUUAAUUAAGUUUUUGUAGUAAAGAUAAUUAGGUACUAUUUACUGGGGAAGUUGUUAUAUUAUAUCUAUAAUUAGGUAAAACUAAGAUUUUAUGAUCCUUUAUAUAAGGAAAAUUGGUGAUAGUUACUUUAGGGAUAACAGCAUAAUAAUUUUAUAGAGACCCUAUCGAUAAGAUUGACUAUGACCUCGAUGUUGAAUUAAGAUGUCUA